rnacentral:lncRNA from 1 species
AGGAACAACUGAUCCUCGAGGAGCUGCCCAUAACAGUUCCUACUGUCCAUCCAUUCCUCGAGAAAUGUUUAACAUAUUAAAAUACCUGUACAAAAGUUGAAUUGCAGAACCAAACUCCAUUGGGCAUUAGGCUUUUCAAUUUUAGGCAACAAGUAUGAGCUGCAAAAGAAAUGUUUAACAUAUUAAACUUGUUAAAGAAGUUCAUGGCAAUGACAUAUAUACAGAUCUAGUACAGCAUUCUUAUAUUCUAGGUAACUUACAUAUACGCUCGCGCUGGUUGCACUUACAGAUCACUGUUAAAGUCUUCCGUGUCUCUUUUCAUUUGGCCCCUUCCACAAAUCAUGCAGUGCCAGGACAAAUUGAUUGGCGAUGUUGAUGAGUACGAUGAACUUUAUACUGAUCUUUAGCUGUAUCUGGCACUUAAAGGAGCUUGCACGGCUUUGUUUCUGGUCACCUCUCAAAAGGCAUCAUUCUAUUUGGAGUUGUUCUCGCUGCUUAUAUUCUAUCUUUAUGCCCUUUUCACUACCGAUGUGGGACAAUUCCUAACAAUAAGAACAUCCUAACAAUAGGAACAUCCCCUCCUCGAGAUGGGAUCAUCAAUCUCCGCACAUCAUGUUUAUGUCUGAAAAGAAAGAAAGAACUUAAAAAUUCUUUACUGCUACUGAAUUGUAUUAUUAAUUCUUUUUUUUUUUUGAAAAAAAAUUAAUUCAUUGUUAUUAGUCCCCAAAUAAUAUUUCGUGCCUAUCAACUUUUUCGAGGCAACCCUAUCAACUUUUUGAUCUUUUCUCUUGCCAUCUUUUCACUGCUCUGCCUAUCCCUCCUUUAGUAAUUCCAAACUUAUGUUCUGUCUCCUUGGCUCGAAUUCAUUUAUUAUAAAUUUUCACCAAACAUAUGGCAUCACAAUUUAUUUGUUAUACUAUAUUUGCGUUUGAAAAUGUGGAUACAAAGCCGCACAUUAUCAAGUCAUUUUGAGCAUAUAUAAAUUUGAGUGAGUCGUGAUAGGGUGUUCAUAACGAGUCAUGUUUGGAUUGUUUUCAAUUGAACUCGCGGAUACAUGCUUAACUGUGAACAGAAAAAAGUGGAAUAUCAAGGUUUGAAUAGAUAAAUUCAUUGGUCACUGAAUUGUCAUAAUACAGAGAAAAAAAUUAUCUACAUAUAUAGCAUCAUUAUGUACAUCAAGAGCGAAGAUAUAAACAAUUAAUGUUAGUAGUUUUGACACAAAUCCACAGCUCCAAAACACCUCCUUUGUCCAUGCCGACCCAUCAAACUUCGUGCUAUGGUCCAGAGGAACAACUGAUCCUCAAGGAGCUGCCCAUAACAGUUCCUAGUGUCCAUCCAUUCCUCGAGAAAUGUUUAACAUAUUAAAAUACCUGUACAAAAGUUGAAUUGCAGAACCAAACUCCAUUGGGCAUUAGGCUUUUCAAUUUUAGGCAACAAGUAUGAGCUGCAAAAGAAAUGUUUAACAUAUUAAACUUGUUAAAGAAGUUCAUGGCAAUGACAUAUAUACAGAUCUAGUACAGCAUUCUUAUAUUCUAGGUAACUUACAUAUACGCUCGCGCUGGUUGCACUUACAGAUCACUGUUAAAGUCUUCCGUGUCUCUUUUCAUUUGGCCCCUUCCACAAAUCAUGCAGUGCCAGGACAAAUUGAUUGGCGAUGUUGAUGAGUACGAUGAACUUUAUUCUGAUCUUUAGCUGUAUCUGGCACUUAAAGGAGCUUGCACGGCUUUGUUUCUGGUCACCUCUCAAAAGGCAUCAUUCUAUUUGGAGUUGUUCUCGCUGCUUAUAUUCUAUCUUUAUGCCCUUUUCACUACCGAUGUGGGACAAUUCCUAACAAUAAGAACAUCCUAACAAUAGGAACAUCCCCUCCUGGAGAUGGGAUCAUCAAUCUCCGCAGAUCAUGUUUAUGUCUGAAAAGAAAGAAAGAACUUAAAAAUUCUUUACUGCUACUGAAUUGUAUUAUUAAUUCUUUUUUUUUUGAAAAAAAAUUAAUUCAUUGUUAUUAGUCCCCAAAUAAUAUUUCGUGCCUAUCAACUUUUUCGAGGCAACCCUAUCAACUUUUUGAUCUUUUCUCUUGCCAUCUUUUCACUGCUCUGCCUAUCCCUCCUUUAGUAAUUCCAAACUUAUGUUCUGUCUCCUUGGCUCGAAUUCAUUUAUUAUAAAUUUUCACCAAACAUAUGGCAUCACAAUUUAUUUGUUAUACUAUAUUUGCGUUUGAAAAUGUGGAUACAAAGCCGCACAUUAUCAAGUCAUUUUGAGCAUAUAUAAAUUUGAGUGAGUCGUGAUAGGGUGUUCAUAACGAGUCAUGUUUGGAUUGUUUUCAAUUGAACUCGCGGAUACAUGCUUAACUGUGAACAAAAAAAAGUGGAAUAUCAAGGUUUGAAUAGAUAAAUUCAUUGGUCACUGAAUUGUCAUAAUACAGAGAAAAAAAUUAUCUACAUAUAUAGCAUCAUUAUGUACAUCAAGAGCGAAGAUAUAAACAGUUAAUGUUAGUAGUUUUGACACAAAUCCACAGCUCCAAAACACCUCCUUUGUCCAUGCCGACCCAUCAAACUUCGUGCUAUGGUCCAGAGGAACAACUGAUCCUCAAGGAGCUGCCCAUAACAGUUCCUAGUGUCCAUCCAUUCCUCGAGAAAUGUUUAACAUAUUAAAAUACCUGUACAAAAGUUGAAUUGCAGAACCAAACUCCAUUGGGCAUUAGGCUUUUCAAUUUUAGGCAACAAGUAUGAGCUGCAAAAGAAAUGUUUAACAUAUUAAACUUGUUAAAGAAGUUCAUGGCAAUGACAUAUAUACAGUUCUAGUACAGCAUUCUUAUAUUCUAGGUAACUUACAUAUACGCUCGCGCUGGUUGCACUUACAGAUCACUGUUAAAGUCUUCCGUGUCUCUUUUCAUUUGGCCCCUUCCACAAAUCAUGCAGUGCCAGGACGAAUUGAUUGGCGAUGAUGAUGAGUAUG